rnacentral:rRNA from 1 species
AUUGAACGCUGGCGGAAUGCUUUACACAUGCAAGUCGAACGGUAGAGGGGCAACCCUUGAGAGUGGCGAACGGGUGAGUAAUGUAUCGGAACAUGCCCAGUCGUGGGGGAUAACGUAGCGAAAGUUACGCUAAUACCGCAUACGAUCUACGGAUGAAAGCGGGGGACUCGCAAGAGCCUCGCGUGAUUGGAGUGGCCGAUAUCAGAUUAGGUAGUUGGUAGGGUAAAGCCUACCAAGCCGACGAUCUGUAGCUGGUCUGAGAGGACGACCAGCCACACUGGGACUGAGACACGGCCCAGACUCCUACGGGAGGCAGCAGUGGGGAAUUUUGGACAAUGGGCGCAAGCCUGAUCCAGCCAUUCCGCGUGCAGGAAGAAGGCCUUCGGGUUGUAAACUGCUUUUGUACGGAACGAAACGCGCUAGGUUAAUACCCUGGCGUAAUGACGGUACCGUAAGAAUAAGCACCGGCUAACUACGUGCCAGCAGCCGCCGCGGUAA